GACGAACGCUGGCGGCGCGCUUAACACAUGCAAGUCGAACGGAAAGGCCUGCUUUCCCUUGUGGAUUGCGGGUACUCGAGUGGCGAACGGGUGAGUAACACGUGAGUGAUCUGCCCCCAACUUGGGUAUAAGCCUGGGAAACUGGGUCUAAUUCCCGAUAGGACUGCAGGGUGGUGCCUGUGGUGGAAAACGAUUUUCUAGUGGUUGGGGGUGAGCUCGCGGCCUAUCAGCUUGUUGGUGGGGUAAUGGCCUACCAAGGCGGCGACGGGUAGCCGGCCUGAGAGGGUGGACGGCCACAUUGGGACUGAGAUACGGCCCAGACUCCUACGGGAGGCAGCAGUGGGGAAUAUUGCACAAUGGGCGGAAGCCUGAUGCAGCGACGCCGCGUGGGGGAUGACGGCCUUCGGGUUGUAAACUCCUUUCGACCGCGAGGAAGCCACCUGGUUGGAAGGGUGGUGACGGUAGUGGUAGAAGAAGCACCGGCUAACUACGUG
rnacentral:rRNA from 1 species